UACCCGAUGGCACAAGGUGUGCGUUUUUUGUUCUUCAGGAGGUCACGAAGCUUUAAGCAGAAGGUCCCCGUUCGAUUCGGGGUCGGGUGA